rnacentral:rRNA from 1 species
UACGGAGGGUGCAAGCGUUAUCCGGAUUCACUGGGUUUAAAGGGCGCGUAGGCGGCCUGUUAAGUCGAACGUGAAAUCCCCGGGCUCAACCCGGGAACUGCGUCCGAUACUGGCAGGCUUGAAUCCGGGAGAGGGAUGCGGAAUUCCAGGUGUAGCGGUGAAAUGCGUAGAUAUCUGGAGGAACACCGGUGGCGAAGGCGGCAUCCUGGACCGGCAUUGACGCUGAGGCGCGAAAGCCGGGGGAGCAAACGGG